rnacentral:rRNA from 1 species
GUAGGGGGGGGCGAGCGUUGUCCGGAUUUAUUGGGCGUAAAGGGGCUCGUAGGCGGGCGUUAGCAAGUCGAUCGUGAAAACCCAGGGGCUCAACCCUGGGACGCCGGUCGAAACUGCUAUGGCUAGGGUCCCGGUAGAGGUGAGUGGAAUUCUCGGUGUAGCGGUGAAAUGCGCAGAUAUCGAGAGGAACACCAUUAGCGAAGGCGGCUCACUGGGCCGGUACCGACGCUGAGGAGCGAAAGCGUGGGGAGCAAACAGGAUUAGAUACCCUGGUAGUCCACGCCGUAAACGUUGAACACUAGGUGUGGCGGACUUAUCCACGUCCGCCGUGCCGCAGCUAACGCAUUAAGUGUUCCGCCUGGGGAGUACGGCCGCAAGGCUA